rnacentral:rRNA from 1 species
UGGGGAAUAUUGCACAAUGGGCGAAAGCCUGAUGCAGCAACGCCGCGUGCGGGAAGAAGGCCCUAGGGUUGUAAACCGCUUUCAGCAGGGAAGAAAAUGACGGUACCUGCAGAAGAAGGUGCGGCCAACUACGUGCCAGCAGCCGCGGUGACACGUAGGCACCAAGCGUUGUCCGGAUUUAUUGGGCGUAAAGAGCUCGUAGGCGGUUCAGUAAGUCGGGUGUGAAAACUCUGGGCUCAACCCAGAGACGCCACCCGAUACUGCUGUGACUUGAGUACGGUAGGGGAGUGGGGAAUUCCUGGUGUAGCGGUGAAAUGCGCAGAUAUCAGGAGGAACACCGGUGGCGAAGGCGGCAUCCUGGACCGGUAUUGACGCUGAGUGAGCGAAAGCCAGGGGAGCAAACGGGAUUAGAUACCCCCGUAGUCCCUGAGCGGGCUGGCAAGGCGCAU